UUUGCACUUCAAUUACCCAUUUAGGGCACUCUUUCUUCUACUGUGUUGGCCUUUCAAUAGUGAAAAAAAUAAUAAUUCAACUGCUAAUUGAAUGUAAAUUUCUAGAUCAUUCAGUGUUUGGUAGGCUUUUUAAUGGCUUAAAUGGACUGCCCAUUUGCAAUAAGGUUUAAUUUCCUCACUUUUGAAUUUUUUAGGUACCAUGAUUUGCUCUUUCAUUAAAAGUAAGGGAAAAUUAUACAUCCCAGAAAAAGGAAAAAAGAAAUCUCAUGAAACUUUACACUCUUGGGAUUGAACAACGAGGAAGUAGGACGGAUGAUAUCUGACUGAAGGUCUAAAGGAAAUUCUGUGCCAUAGCUUCUUUCCCAGUGCAAAGAGAUCCAUCAAAUGAUGGGGAUGUUUUGAUAGCACAUUUAUCUGAACCUUCAGUUUCAAACCCCUUUGCAAAGAACAGAUGGAAAUAUAGUCUAAAAGCAGG